rnacentral:rRNA from 1 species
CACGUAGGGGGCAAGCGUUGUCCGGAUUUAUUGGGCGUAAAGAGCUCGUAGGUGGUUCGGUAAGUCAGGUGUGAAACCUCCAGGCUCAACCUGGAGACGCCACUUGAUACUGCUGUGACUGGAGUCCGGUAGGGGAGCGUGGAAUUCCUGGUGUAGCGGUGAAAUGCGCAGAUAUCAGGAGGAACACCAAUGGCGAAGGCAGCUCGCUGGGACGGUACUGACGCUGAGGCGCGUAAGCGUGGGGAGCAAACAGG